CCUCCUCCUCGCUAUUUGAGCUAGUGAUCUGGAGGUGGUGGUCGCACAAUAGCGAAGCGUCGGAGGGCGGCGAGGACAGCCCCAGCUCGGUGUCAUCGUUGGACUUUGCCGGCCGCUGCAGAUUUGAUGGUGCAGUUUCAGAGCCGCGCAAGGGGAUUAGAAGUGGUCAUGUGCCUGGGAGCAAAUGCGCUCUUUCCCUCAGUUGGAAAUUCUCCACUUCUCCAUACUUUGGUGUUCAACAUAUGAUACUUUGACUUCUUGUUCAUUCUAGCAUCAUAUUUUUCUUCAUCUAUCCUUACAUUUUAAUGAGGUGUAAAUGUGUGUGCUUACUAGAUACAUUAAUGGUCAGGUCAGGUUCUACACCUGUGAUGAUAUACUAAUUUGGUAUGAGAUAAUCACAACACGUUGAGAUUGUAGGAGAUCAUGAUAUUGUUGGUAUGUAGAUACACUUGUAGUAUUGGAGGCUAAUAUUCACUAUGAGACCUUGUUAACCAUAUCAGUAUGGAGAUAGGAUAAUCUUUCUUUGCACUUUGUAGCUUGGCUAUAUACACUGUAACACUAAAACUUGGAUUGGUGUUUCAACUAAAAGUCCAUGUAUCAUCAUCCUUUUUAUGUCCAUGCAGAGUAUUGCCAAAGAUGUUUUUCUAUCUCCGGAAAUAUUGUCUAUGUUAUUGCUUAUUUUUACUUGACUUUCUUCAAGUGCUUGACAGCUCACAAAAGCUAUGACCCCCAGAUGAACUCCGGAAACGAUUUGAGCAAGAAGGAAUAUCACUUGAUCAACCCCUUGUGACCUCUUGCGGCACUGGCGUGGCAGCAUGUAUACUAGCCUUGGGCCUCCAUCGCCUUGGUAAAACUGAUAUCACUGUAUAUCAUGGACCGAAUGGGGAGCCCAUCCCGAAACUCCAGUUGCGACUGGCGUCUAGUCUCAUAACCUGCUCAUGGAGGCUCUUGACUGUACUUCUCUUGUG